AAUAUGCCGUCAUGUUACCCGAGUGAUAAAUGAAGAGAGACGGAUCACUCUUGCUUGUUUGAAACCCGUAUGAGACAAUGAAUUCCUUGAGUGAAUCAUGCCAAGCACGUGGAGCUUGUCGAAGGCCAUAUAUGGCUUUGUGGAGUUUGCAAACAUAUUCAGGAUGUGAGGGAUCUUUCAUACCUGAUGGCUGCUCCAUAAACACUUCUUCAGUAAGUGCACCUUGGAGGAAUGCUUUAUUUACAUCAAGUUGGUGCAUUGCCCAUUGAUUUGAGAUAGCAAGAGUGAGGAUAAUCUUGAUCGUUUGAGGACGAACAACUGGAGCAAAUGUCUCUUUAAAAUCAAUUCCAGGGCAUUGUGUGAAGCCCUUUGCAACAAGUCGUGCCUUAUAUCGAGCAAUAGAGCCAUCACUAUUUCGUUUAAUACGGAACAACCAUUUGCACCCUACUAUAUUUUGUCCUGCCUUGGGAGGGACAAGAGAAAAGGUACCAUUUCUGAUUAAGGCUUCAAAUUCAUCUGCAAUUGCUCUACGCCA
rnacentral:lncRNA from 1 species